rnacentral:rRNA from 1 species
UACGGAGGGGGCUAGCGUUGUUCGGAAUUACUGGGCGUAAAGCGCACGUAGGCGGCGAUUUAAGUCAGAGGUGAAAGCCUGGAGCUCAACUUCAGAAUUGCCUUUAAGACUGCAUCGCUUGAAUCCGGGAGAGGUGAGUGGAAUUCCGAGUGUAGAGGUGAAAUUCGUAGAUAUUCGGAAGAACACCAGUGGCGAAGGCGGCUCACUGGACCGGGCAUUGACGCUGAGGUGCGAAAGCGUGGGGAGCAAACAGG